CCCUACGUUUAUUGUCCACGUGUUCUUCUUCUCUCUUUCUUUUGGGUUCGUUGUCCACCGCUGUUUCUUUUUGGUUCUUCGUUGUUACUGCCUCAGCCAUGGUCACCGCCCACCAUCCCAAACGGCUUGCUUCGUUCUUUAUUACACCACCAGUUCCUUCCACCGCUUUCAUUUUUGUUCCUCAUGCUUCCCCCACCGCCUCUCUUAUCAGAUGUCUUCUCCACCACCUACACAUACGUCUUCGACCGUACCUCCGGCCUCUGUGGCCUUCUUUCUAAUCGAAUCGGAGGAGAGGUCCUGUAGAUCACCGUCGUCUCCGAUUGAAUCAGGGAUAUUAAGACGUGUCGAUGGGCCACGGAGGUUGAAAACGGCGGUGUCGUACGCACGACCGGCGUCGACGUUUGUGGAAAAUAUUCUAUUCUCUGUCCACGUGUUGUUCAUUGUGCCUGGUUUUGCUUCCAUCUUUAUCUGUUAUCUGAACUUAGGGCUUUUAUCCCAUCCUCUCCUCUCCCUACCGGUCGCCGAAUAUAACUCUUUCUUCGUGGCUGAUUCGGAACGACUUGAAGGUAAUUUUUCUUUUACUUUGAGGGUAUCGGCUAUGGUGGUGGGGUUUCUUGGCCUUUGCGUACGUGAACAGGGCUGAAUAUUGGACAUUUAUGGAGGUGGUCACCGGUGCUUGAUAUCGAGUGCUAGGGGUGGUAUUGGGUAUGGUCGAAGACAUUCACUUGUGAGAAUCGGAGAAAGCAUUCGAAUGGGUUUCAUCUAAAGCACAUGAUGGAAAAUCAGUUACUUCAUCAGAAUUUAUAGCCUAUUUGCAGGUUGCUGCUUAGUCUUGGAUCAUUUAAUGUUUAUAAUUGUACCAGGAUGUACAUAACCUGUUACUGUAUGGUAUCCAAGGCAGGGGCAAAUCACCAAAUUACCCUUGAAUACAAUUUGUGGAGAAAUCUUCAUGCAUAAAUCCACAAUGUGACUGGAAUCCUACGCUUUGAACGCAAAAACAAAGCUGAAAUAAUGUCAUAAGAAAAUCUAUGAACCUUUUAUAUGUUAACAGUUAAAUUGUUGAUAUUAAGGUUAUAUAUAUAUAUACACCCAACUUAAUGGAUCUCCCAGUUUGAGGAAGUGUUCUAUAGCGUCUUUCUGCUCCAUCCAUUGCUUCCCAACGGUCGAAUGAUCGAAAGCUCCAUCAUUUCCCGUCGUCGGCGUCAGGUCUCCAUAGACAGUGAAGAAUAUAAGGGUAUAUGGUCAGAAUACGUAUGUGUGUUGCUUCGAUUAGGCUUGCGUUCUCAGUCUGAGUCUCUAGGCAUGAUCUACCCUUUCAUUGUAAGGUUUUCUAUAUUCAGUUAUUGCAGAUCACAAAUUAAGUAUCCACGCCUUUGAUUCAAUCUUUUUAGCAAAUGUAUAAAUGGUUCUUGAUAUUCCGCUUUCAAUUGUGUUUAGGUUUUGUUAGUAUUUAGUAUUUAUUGAUAUUAAUUGUGUCUUUACCUUUUCUUGGUUUCUGUUUAAGAUGGCAUUUUGUUUCUGGAGGUGAACAGGAUGCUAAGGACAGGAGGCUACUUUGUGUGGGCAGCACAACCCGUUUAUAAACAUGAAAAUAAGCUUCAUACACAAUGGAAAGGUUUAGGAAAUCGCAGCAGCUCAGUUGAUAUGAACCUGUUUCCUUUUGCUAUUUGAAGGAGGAAAGUAAAAAAAAUGCAUCUUUUACACAAAGCAGAUAAUCUGGUGGAGGCGUCAAGCGGCUUCAAGGCCAGAUCAUGGUCGUCAUCUCGCGAAGGGAACGGAGUGCUUCCAUAGAUAUAACACUCUUCGUUAGUUGCUUCCCCUGCAGGUACUUAAAGUUUAAUCGUUAAAGUCUGUGCCUGCACAAAACUGUGAUGUCUAUGACGAACAGAUGCCUUUCGUUUACAAAGGCCGGAUUCUGAAAGAUGAUAAUUCUCUUAAGAAUUCUGGGGCAUAACCGUCAUUUUUAAUUUCUCGGAUCGUUCUGAAGAUGAUCUUGUGGGAGAGGUUAAGUAUAUACAAUUUAAUCAAAACUUUGUUAUCAUUAUGUAUUAUUUUUAGCAAAGGACAUUUUGGUCGGUCCUAAAAAAUUAUAAGUAUUUGAAACCCAUUUAUAAUUUUUCUAUUUGUAAAUUUUACAAAAUCAUCACUUAAGGGAUCUCAAAGCCGCAAGAGCUUAUUCGAGAGGAAGCAGUUGGACUGGUGUUGCCUUUGACUAAAUUUGGUUUAAGUAGUUUUGUACCCAACAUAUGUGUUUUAAAAAGAGAAUAUAUCUCAGUUUGCUUCUA